AUCGAACGCUGGCGGCAGGCCUAACACAUGCAAGUCGAGCGGCAGCGGGAAGUAGCUUGCUACUUUGCCGGCGAGCGGCGGACGGGUGAGUAAUGUCUGGGAAACUGCCUGAUGGAGGGGGAUAACUACUGGAAACGGUAGCUAAUACCGCAUAACGUCGCAAGACCAAAGAGGGGGACCUUCGGGCCUCUUGCCAUCAGAUGUGCCCAGAUGGGAUUAGCUAGUAGGUGGGGUAACGGCUCACCUAGGCGACGAUCCCUAGCUGGUCUGAGAGGAUGACCAGCCACACUGGAACUGAGACACGGUCCAGACUCCUACGGGAGGAAGCAGUGGGGAAUAUUGCACAAUGGGCGCAAGCCUGAUGCAGCCAUGCCGCGUGUAUGAAGAAGGCCUUCGGGUUGUAAAGUACUUUCAGCGGGGAGGAAAGUGUUGAGGUUAAUAACCUCAGCAAUUGACGUUACCCGCAGAAGAAGCACCGGCUAACUCCGUGCCAGCAGCCGCGGUAA
rnacentral:rRNA from 1 species